rnacentral:lncRNA from 1 species
UUUGUAACAAUAUGAUCAUCCGUUGAAUGUUGAUUGUCAAUGGAGUUUUGAGAUAUUAUUGCAUUGGGCAUUGUUGAGGAGACUUCAGGAGGGGAGAAUGCCAUUAUCAACUGAAAGAGUUAACCUUAUUAGAUUGAUUUAGAGCAAUUGACACAUUUAUAUGUUCUAAAUGAAGUUAAGGACUGCACACAACCAACAACAGCAAUGAAGUUCAGCAGACAGCAACAAAUAAUGCUAACUUCAAAACACAAACAAUCACUAACAUAUGCUUUCUGUCACAAAAGCUGUAGUGCAUAAUAAUACAGAAUUAGCUAUAGACUAUAGUGUAGAAUUAGCAGAAUUAGCUAUAAUGCUAACUUCAAAACACAAACAACAAUCACUAACAAUCACUAACAUAUGCUUUCUGUCACAUCACAAUUUGUAUCACAAACUAUAGUGCAGAGUUAUAAACAAACACCAAAAUCAACAAACAACCAGAAUUAGCAGCAAAAAAAAACAGAAACUAAGAUUUCUAUCUAUUGGACAUGAAUCCAACAAAAAACAGAAACCACAACCAAAAUUUAGAAAAUAGAACCUGCUGCAACUGUCGCGUCGAGGAGGGCAGAGCCGUCGCGGCGUCGCUGCUGCUGUUGCGGUGGGCUGGGAGAUGGCAGUCGGAGGAGCAAGCUCGGUCCAGAUGAGCAGCGUGAACAGAGAUGACAGUGGGCGACGGUAGAAAGGUGUCUGGUGGCGAGAAGAAACGGCAGGAAUGGUGGAUGGAGGUCGCUGCACUACUGCUGCUGUUAAGCUGUCCGGACCUUCGCCGGAAAGGCCGAGCCGCCGUCGCGUCGAGUGCCGGAGUGCGUGUCACCGGAGAGAUGAGAGAUUGGGGGUGGGCGGCGCCAGCAGCCGAGAGAG